rnacentral:lncRNA from 1 species
GCGCUACCACAGAGCAAGAAGGAUGAGACUAAUUUAAUUUUUCUCCUGGACAAUAAUUACCCAGGUAUGGAAACCCUGCUGCCAGAUGUAGAUCUCCAAGUUUACCACUGUGAAGAACAGGGCUUUUUGGAUAAGCUUCUGCUAUCAGCGCACUUCGGCUCCUCUUGCAAACUCCUAACUCUGUGGAGCGCUUCCACUGCCAAGCGGCUCAUUUUCAAGCAAGCGGUUGGAUACCAGCAGGAGGAACACCUAAUCCCAGCUGGAUGACCACUGCCAAUUGCACGCUGUAUUUCCCUUCAGCUUUAGCUCAGCUGGUGAGGCACAAUGCAGAGAGAAGCAUACAGAAG